GUGCCAGCAGCGGCGGUAAUACGUAGGUGGCAAGCGUUGUCCGGAUUUAUUGGGCGUAAAGGGAACGCAGGCGGUCUUUUAAGUCUGAUGUGAAAGCCUUCAGCUUAACCGAAGUCGUGCAUUGGAAACUGGGAGACUUGAGUGCAGAAGAGGAGAGUGGAACUCCAUGUGUAGCGGUGAAAUGCGUAGAUAUAUGGAAGAACACCAGUGGCGAAAGCGGCUCUCUGGUCUGUAACUGACGCUGAGGUUCGAAAGCGUGGGUAGCAAACAGGAUUAGAUACCCUGGUAGUCCACGCUGUAAACGAUGAAUGCUAAGUGUUGAGGGUUUCCGCCUUCAGUGCCGCAGCAAACGCAUUAAGCAUUCCGCCUGGGGAGUACGACCGCAAGGUUGAAACUCAAAGGAAUUGACGGGGCCGCGACAAGCGGUGGAGCAUGUAGGUUUAAUUCGAAGCAACGCGAAGAACCUUACCAGGUCUUGACAUCUUCUGAUAACCUAAGAGA
rnacentral:rRNA from 1 species